GGGUUUCCUGUAAACUGUUAUUUUGAUGCUGCUGUCUUCUCUGUGGUGAAUGUUCAUGUCCAGGAAUGAAAUGGUCCGGUUUAUUUCCUCUUCGUGUGUGGAUUGUAUGUUUCCCGUGUCGUCCAUGUUGUUCAGAUGAUCAGUGAGUUCUUGUGUGUGUCCAGAUUUUAUUAUUUCCAGGAUGUCGUGGACGUAUCUUCUCCAGAGUGUGGGUCUGCAGAGCGGGGAUGGCUUUGGUUUCCAGGUCCUCCAUGAAAAAGUUACUCAUUAUGGCUGAAAGUGGAUCUUUUUUUCAACUUUAUUUUACCAGCAUUAAAACUUUGUCUGCAGAGAGAAAAGAACGACUCCGUUUUUUGCCAGACUGGAGGAUGUUGGAGGGAGUCUGUUAAUCUCUCUGGACCUGACAUUUGAAAACCUCCACCUCUCCUCACCCUCCCAGCCCACUGAUACGGAUCUAAGACCCGACCGGCCUCUGGGGCGGUGUUUGGUGAAGUUAUCUCUGGAGGCUGCUGGAGGAUAAAUGUGGAGAUCUGCAGAUAGAAGCCAAGAAGAUGAACGGAGCUGGAGAGGAAGAAGAUCUACAGUGGUGUUCAAAAUAAUAGCAGUCCCACAUCACUUUAUCAGGACCGUCAGUGUUGAUUUAACUUAUUUCUAAACAGGAAACACACUGCAACUCACUGACAGUAAAAUAAUACAUCUCUCUGAUGCACUUUGCCCAUGACAACAGAAACAUACAGAAACAAAAAGAAGCCUGGCAGACUUUAUCCUCUCAGCAGCUGUGUGGUUAACUAGCGGCUAGAACUGAUGACAGGUGUGUGUGCAGAGUCAGACACACACACACAGGAUGCUCACUUCAUCAGUCAUCUUGCAAAAAUACACCGUACAUAAACGAAUCCCGCUGCAGAACCUCCUCUCCAUCAGGACCAUCAGUUGUUGAUGUCCUCCCUCGGGUCUCCGGUUUCUAGACUAGCGGCGCUAGCGCAGAGCUACAGGGAACAUCUGGACCCCUCAGAGCAGUGGGGGACGUCUACGUAGAUCACGUGACCGACCGACGGUAGAUCUGAAUUAUUUUUAGUUUUGUUUUAUUUAUUAUUUUGGUCCUCAGAGACUUUUACACACACACACACACACACACACACACACACACACACACACACACACACUUACAAAUAAAAACAAAAUUAAAUAGAAUUUAAAAAAACAACUUUGACAACAGGGCACUUUGGGCAUCAAGGAGCAAAGGGGCAGGUGCUUCGGCCCCCUCCGCCUCCCCCCACCCCCCUCCGCCUCCACCUCCCCUGCUGAAGAAAUACCAUAAUCUUGGGAUUAAUCAAAAAUAAAACCCUAACUCUAUGAUAUACAAGAACUGUCGACCUCACCUGUUGUCUAAACUGGACAAACCACAGUAUUUCAACCCCAACUUAAUUAUUGACAAAACAAUAUAGAAAACAGCGGCGGACUACUUCCAGCUGCGGAGGGACACCCUUUUCCAGCUAGCUGCAAUCUGACGCAGUGACGCAGCAGAGUGCAACUGACCAGGGCGGAGGGAUACGUCAUUCUGCUGGGAGAAGAGACACAGCGAGGAGGUAAGUUAUCUUCUGAAAGUGCUUUUGAGUUUUUGUUGAUAAAAUUUAAUAACAAUGGCAGUUUCUUCUGUGAUAAAAUGGAAUAAAAUCAGCACAUUGACAGAGCUUUGCGAA